UGGGAAUAAGGUCGGUGAUGCUUCUGCCA
rnacentral:piRNA from 1 species